UACGUAGGCAGCGAGCGUUGUUCGGAAUUACUGGACGUAAAGAGUGUGUAGGCGGUGCUCUAAGUUCGGUGUGAAAUCUCCUGCUUAACUGGGAGGGUGCGCCGGAAACUGGAGUGCUCGAGCGUGGGAGAGGAAAGCGGAAUUCCUGGUGUAGCGGUGAAAUGCGUAGAUAUCAGGAGGAACACCUGUGGUGUAGACGGCUUUCUGGACCAUAGCUGACGCUGAGACACGAAAGCGUGGGUAGCAAACAGG
rnacentral:rRNA from 1 species